GCUGCGACCUUGAGUGAACACCACCGCAGUGAUUUUGAAUGCUAGAAUUCCACACUUAGACUCUAGCAUCCAGUGCUGGGCACUCUAAUCCCUACUGAGACUCUCUGAGCACCCAGCCUUUCUGGCCUGUGACCGUGGAGUUGACCUUGGUGCACAGGGUGUGGCCAGAAGAGCGCCUCAAUAACGCUUCCACCAGCCACAGCCCCUAGAGGUUAGCCACGUGCUCGGAUGAUGAUGAUGAUAACGACAAUAAAGAAGUAACAAGGCAAGAAUGCUCCCUCCUCUGUUCCACCCCAAAGAGCUAUGCCCAUUUUACAUAAGAGAAAUCGGACAUGCGGAACAGGCUGGCUGACUCCACACCUGGUGCUCUGCUAACCGCUCUGCGGCUUGGUCUUCCUCGUCUGACUGGAGACUGGCGGGGGACACUGGAACUCAUGAGCUGCUAAGUGGAGGAUUUGCCCAAGAAGUUCCCUGCCUUGGGCUGCUAUCCCACCAGGCAUGCGCUGCCUUGAUGUUUGGAAAAGGUGGAACCACCGAGAUACCCAUUGAACUCCUUUUCUGUACCAGGCCCUGAAAUGAUUUUGAAACACAGGCUGCCACCCACCCUGCUCGAGAAUACAGAAAUGAGUAAGACAUAGUCCUAGACUUUGAGAACAUCCUGUGUUAUUUGGGGAGAUGAAUCAAGUUGAGAAGAAAAUAGAAUACAAGAAUAAGCAUGCUGAACAGCCCAGGAGAGGAGAAUGGAGAACAGGUAGAAGAAAGAUCUCUUCCACAGCUCAAGAGGAUGGGAAUCAAGUUCAGGUUCACAUUGUGUGAAUAUUCAUUUAUUUAAUUUUUUGUUUAAUGCUUAUCUCCCUAUAUGACAGUCCUGGGCUAUUUUUGCCAGCCUCUCUCUCUCUCUCUCUCUCUGAAACUGUGCUUCUGUUUUUCUUUAGAGAACCAUCUCUUGCCCAUUCUCAGUUCCAGCCCAGCUCUAGCCAUUUACAUGUGAUCCAAACCCAGCUAAGGGAUUGGCUCAGGGAUGGGCCAAUGAAAAUCAGCCCUGGGAUUUUGCGGGGACUAUUAGAAGACAAAUUUUUCCCCAGGAAGUAAGCCUGAAGUUGCUGGAGGCCAUCUCUCCAGCCAUGUUGGUGCAGCCUUCUGAGAAACCAACACGGAGAAAAACAGAGCUCAGAGAUUCAGAAGACAAAGUCCUAGUGACGUAUGUACGCCUCCCUAUCCAACCCUGCCUGAAGCCUUCCCUCACCCAAGACUUUUCAAUUACAUUUUUGCUUAAGUCCAUUUAAACUGCAUCUUUGUCACCUACAACCAGAAGAACCCUAAUGAUAAAUAAAUAAGUACUUCUCAAACACUCGCCUGGUGCUUGGCAUAUAGUAACAGGCUCCAAACAACAGGUGGUGUUGAAACAGAUCUUCAAUGCAUGCUCAUACACCCACAUCCAGUUACAAGGACCAGAGACACCAGGAAGGAAGACACUUGGAAACAGAAAGAACUAUCUCAGAAUAGGAGGAAAGGACUGAAUCAGAUGACAGUCACCACCGCAAGGAACAAUGAAGGAUGUGCAAACAACAGAGCAGAGAAGAGAUCGAAGGAAAUCGAUCCAUUCAAGUAGAAUGGGAAUUCCAGGCUACUGAUAAGCGAAUGGCAGGCUGGUGCAGCUUCGCCUUAUCUCCACCUGUCUUUGCUUCUCAGGUGUCCCCACAAGCAAUCAUGGACUGCUUCCUGGUACAAUUGACUCUGCAAAGACUCCAAGAGCAAAGCCAGCCAAGGUCAAGGGCCCCUCGGAUCACAAAGGCCUUGAAAAGUCUCAGAGAUGAGCCUGUGUCUCUGCCUAACUGGCCCCUUUCCUGGCCGUGCUGGUUAACCCCCAGCCCAGCACUCUCUUCUCUGCAGACCUUUCUCCACAGCACCUUUCGAAAUACUAUGCGUUUAUUUGAUCUUGUCACUUUCACCCCUACUUCGUCUGUCUUUCUAAAAGAUAAAAACUUUCAGCCUCAGCCACAAUGGCGCAGGAGGCAGGGCACCGCUGCAUGAUACUGGAGUCACACGGGAGACCCCAGA